GAUGAAGAACGUAGCGAAAUGCGAUAAGUAAUGCGAAUUGCAGAAUUUCCGUGAGUCAUCGAAUCUUUGAACGCACAUUGCGCCCACUGGUAUUCCGGUGGGCAUGCCUGUUCGAGCGUCAUUAUCCUCCCUCAAACCCCGGGUUUGGUGUUGGACCCAAGUUGUGUGAACAACUGGUCUCAAAGACAAUGACGGCGUCCGUGGGACCCUCGGUGCAACGAGCUUUUAGGAGCACGCGCCGAGUUGCAAGGACCUUCCGGGCCGGUCUCCUUUACUAUUUUACAAGGUUGACCUCGGAUCAGGUAGGAAUACCCGCUGAACUUAAGCAUAUCAAUAAGCGGAGG
rnacentral:misc_RNA from 1 species